CCUACGGGAGGCAGCAGUGAGGAAUAUUGGUCAAUGGACGAGAGUCUGAACCAGCCAAGUAGCGUGAAGGAUGACUGCCCUAUGGGUUGUAAACUUCUUUUAUAAAGGAAUAAAACGAGGCACGUGUGCCUUUUUGCAUGUACUUUAUGAAUAAGGAACGGCUAAAUCCGUGCCAGCAGCCGCGGUAAUACGGAGGAUCCGAGCGUUAGACGGAUUGAUUGGGUUUAAAGGGAGCGUAGAUGGGUUGUUAAGUCAGUUGUGAAAGUUUGCGGCUCAACCGUAAAAUUGCAAUUGAUACUGGCAGUCUUGAGUACAGUUGAGGUAGGCGGAAUUCGUGGUGGAGCGGUGAAAUGCUUAGAUAUCACGAAGAACCCCGAUUGCGAAGGCAGCUUACUAAACUGUGACUGACAUUGAUGCUCGAAAGUGUGGGUAUCAAACAGGAUUAGAUACCCUUGUAGUC
rnacentral:rRNA from 1 species